CUAACCCCUAUAUAAGGUCACCGGGGAGGAGAUUUGGCUAGGAGUUGUUGAUUUGCGACUAGUUCAGAGGUCGACAUUUUCCCCAGCUCGGAAGGAUAAAAAAAACCACCAGACCAUGUUUCUAACCCAUCGUCGCACAGCACCGCUGCUGUUACUGCUACUGGUGGUGGUUACCGCACACCUGGUCGCCAGUGAAGACCUGGACGAGUGUCGUGGUGAGAAGAGGGGACUUCAGACGGGAAUCGAAGCUCUAUCUACGAUGCUGGGAGACUGCCGCAAUGAGCUGAGCAACGAGAGAGGUCUGUGUAAGGAACGCGUGCGAGCAGUCAGCCUACAGUGUCAACAGAAGCAAGGCAGCGAGGCUGGAGAGCGUUAACCAGACCAGUGCGACUUCCAUCUGUGAAGCGUAUAACCCGUGUGAAAUCUGUCGCGAGGUCUAUCUCGUUUAUAACUUGUCGGAAUGCAGGGAAACCAAAGUCAGGACGUCUAAAGAAAUACAUCAGCUGAUUUUUGAAUCUAAAAUCUUGCAGUUAUAUAUAUAUAUAUAUAUAUAUAUAUCAAACCGCGUGCUAAAUUUAAUUUCGAUUUUUUUUUCAUUUCCCGUGGGAGGAACGUGUGUACUAGCAUGAAAGCGUAAUUAUACGAAGGUGGUGACAGUUUCCUACCGUAAUAAGUUGCUAUUAAAACGUCUAUGUUUGAAACACCUA